rnacentral:pre_miRNA from 1 species
UGAUUGUUGAAUAGAUUAGAUCAAUAUAUUAGUAAGUUUUUAUUAGACCAAGAUGAGAGUCAGUUUUUAUUGGAUUAAUCUGUCAUAUCUCAAAUUUUAUUUCAUUUAAGAACAAAAUAUAAUGUUAUGUUUGUAACUAUUAAAAAAUCAAGGAGAAGAUGAAAAUUAAAUUAUAUUUUAUCUUUAAAUAAAAUAAAAUUUUGGGUAUAACAAAUUAGUCCAAUAGAAACUUAUUGAUAUUUUGAUCUAAUCUAUUCACCAACCA